UGGUUUGUCGCGUUGUUCGUGAAAUCUCACGGCUUAACUGUGAGCGUGCGGGCGAUACGGGCAGACUUGAGUACUGCAGGGGAGACUGGAAUUCCUGGUGUAGCGGUGGAAUGCGCAGAUAUCAGGAGGAACACCGGCGGCGAAGGCGGGUCUCUGGGCAGUAACUGACGCUGAGGAGCGAAAGCGUGGGGAGCGAACAGGAUUAGAUACCCUGGUAGUCCACGCCGUAAACGGUGGGUACUAGGUGUGGGUUUCCUUCCUUGGGAUCCGUGCCGUAGCUAACGCAUUAAGUACCCCGCCUUGGGAGUACGGCCGCAAGGCUAAAACUCAAAGAAAUUGACGGGGGCCCGCACAAGCGGCGGAGCAUGUGGAUUAAUUCGAUGCAACGCGAAGAACCUUACCUGGGUUUGACAUGCACAGGACGCCGGCAGAGAUGUCGGUUCCCUUGUGGCCUGUGUGCAGGUGGUGCAUGGCUGUCGUCAGCUCGUGUCGUGAGAUGUUGGGUUAAGUCCCGCAACGAGCGCAACCCUUGUCUCAUGUUGCCAGCGGGUAAUGCCGGGGUCUCGGUGAGAGACUGCCGGGGUCAACUCGGAGGAAGGUGGGGAUGACGUCAAGUCAUCAUGCCCCUUAUGUCCAGGGCUUCACACAUGCUACAAUGGCCGGUACAAAGGGCUGCGAUGCCGCGAGGUUAAGCGAAUCCUUUUAAAGCCGGUCUCAGUUCGGAUCGGGGUCUGCAACUCGACCCCGUGAAGUCGGA
rnacentral:rRNA from 1 species